UACGUAGGGUGCAAGCGUUGUCCGGAAUUAUUGGGCGUAAAGAGCUCGUAGGCGGCUUGUCGCGUCGACUGUGAAAACUCGGGGGCUCAACUCCGAGCUUGCAGUCGAUACGGGCAGGCUAGAGUUCGGUAGGGGGAGACUGGAAUUCCUGGUGUAGCGGUGAAAAUGCGCAGAUAUCAGGAGGAACACCGGUGGCGAAAGGCGGGGUCUCUGGGCCGAUACUGACGUGAGGAGCGAAAGGCGUGGGGAGCGAACAGG
rnacentral:rRNA from 1 species